UGUCUCAAGUAGUUCUAAACAUUGUAGCUGUGAUUUAAAACAGUUGACAUUUUGGAGUGAAAUGUCAUCAUUCCAAAUUUUUAAAUAUUAUCUUUUUUUGUCCUCUUUUUUCUAGAUGUCUCUCAAGGGACAGCAUAUUGGAACACAAACAAGAACGUGAAGUGUUUUGAGUAUGGAUUCUUCCAUUCCAGUAAGGACUGGCUGUCAGCAGUUGUGUUUGAAGCACCACAAAGGCAUGGUGCUCUCUUUUUCAUAAAAUGGGAGUGUCAUAUCUCAGCACUGGGAGCUGUUACUUGAAACAGUGAAGCCACACUGGAAAUCCGUGAGAUAGGAAAGUUUUCCCUGGAUUGUUUGGUGCUUGUGGGAGCAUGGGUAUCUGGUGAGAAAAGAGCUGGUAUCCGCGGCUCAUCUUUCUCUAAAUACUUCAGGCAGUAGGUACAGCAGGGAGCAGAACCUCACCUCUGGAGGGUCCUUCCUACAUAGGGGCUGUUAUGGGUUUAGAGGUUGGAGUGCAAGACUCCAGGAUGGUUGGUGGCUGGGGAAGGCUGGGUGCUCUGCUCUUCGCUGAAAGAGUUAGGCAAACCUACCUUGAUGUAGGAGCUCCUUGUUCACAUUCUGCAUUUGUUCCUCCCCUCUUUUGCCUCUGGAGCUGGAGCACAUUGGAGCUCAACCAUCGGACAAGGAUUAGAGACUUGUGUGUUCUAAGGCAUUAAUAAAAAAUAUAUUCCAGGUGGAUUCUGUCUCUUAAACGCGUCAGUAGCAUUAAGGGUCUGUUGGGAUGUUCUGUCCAAGGAGAUUGGUCGGAGGUGUUGGAGCGAGCUGUGCUCAGCUGGACCUGGCAGCAAAACUGGGAGAGGCUCACAAUGAGGGUAGGAUAUCAACUCUGCACGUGAAUCCUGGCUCAACUUUUCUGGAUCUUCUUCUUGCUUUCCCAAGGAAGGUUACACGAGAAGCUCUGAAUCCCUGUGCUGCAGCAGGAAGUGUUUCGGAGGGACUGAGCAACUCAGGAGCAACUCAGUCCUGUGGGUAGCAGCACUGCACUUGCUGCAAUGGGGAAUCCCAGAUAUGAAUAAAGACUGGCAGAAGAUCUCACCGAGAGCAGCCCUGCAGAGAAGGACUUGGGGUUCUGGUGGAGGAAAAGCUGACAUGAGCAGCAGUGUGCACUUGCUUCCCUCAGCUCAGGAGCAAUGCAUCCUGAAGAAGUCGCAGAGAUGCUGCAGGUGUUUGCAGUGAAGUUACCCUGAUGGUCAAAUUCUCUGGGGGUGUGUGAGGAUUGGUGAGCAAAUGCAUUCCAGCUGGUGGGCUGGGACAUCUGCGUGUAUCAAACUGUUGGAAACAUCCAUCCAUAAUGCUGCCAAAUGCUAUUUUGUUGUAUCAGAAACAGGGUGCUAACACAGACAGGAAUCGUCACUUCCCCGUAUACUUCUGGUAGCCUUUCCCAUGUGCAAGCAUUAGUUUAGGUAAUUACUAAGUCUGGUCCUGACAUCUCUGACUCCAUUUUGACUGGAAGGAGGAGCAAAGACAACCAGAAAGAAGAUGCAGCAAAACAGAGGGUCACCUCGUGGAACAAGGGAUUCCGAGCGAGUGCACGAAUAACAGCACGUGGCUGAAGGAGAGGUGACAGGCAAGUCCCCUGCAUGAGAAGUUCUGCAGAAUUAGUGGGCUGGAAUGGCAAAAGAAAUCAUGUACCAAAGUUCUCUCCACUGGACAGAAGGAACAUCAUGGUCUUCAUAAGAGGUGGAUUCAACACUUCAUCUUUUUGCAGAGGCCAAGACUCUGACACUUGGAAAGAUGAAAGUCGUCAACUCUCAGCUGGUGUUUCAUCCAAGGGGAAAGGCCUGUGUUGACUUGAACCAUCUAAGAAUGUGUCCAUAUCUGUGCUCUUUCAGAGCAGGCAUUUCAGAAGUAACCCAGGGAAGUUGUUGCAUUUCCACAGGGCCUGUGUACCUGACCUACAUACGCAGCUUUGAAAAUCCCAGUCCUUAGGAACUACAGCAAAACUCAGUGUUGCUCUAUGAUGCAGAAAAGCCCACUAUGUUUCCCUUUAUUUUUUCUCAAUAUUUUAUAGGAAAAUGUUUUGUGGGGAAGAAAAACAGGAGAUAUUUCCACUUGUGUUUAAUUUCAGUUACUUGAAGUGUUUCUUUGGCAGAAUGAAAUUAAUUCCUUUUUUUAUACUGAGAACAGAGGAUGUGCUAUGAAGCUGGACCUGGGUAGUAUGGUAAUCAAACUGGCCAGUUAGUCAUUUAUAGUUUGAUGCUUAAGUGUUGAACCACAGUGGGAUGCUGGCCUGUUUUGUGUCCAAAAGAGGAGACUGGUGUUUGGGAUACCAAGGAUCCCCUGCCAUUUUUGCAGGUGUAUUUUCUGGUUUUGCACAGACAGCUGCUGACACAGGCACUGCCUCUUGUUCUGGUCCUGGCCUCAGUGCCCAGUCCUGUGCCAGCAGGACGCACAGAAACACUUCACCCCUGGAACUCCCAAGGAAGUUAUGCCGGGUCUCCUAUGAGCCUUGCCUGUUCUAGGUUCUUGAUACACUCAGGUCCUGAGGUCUGCACAUCCUGAACUGCCAGGCUGUUGGUUUUGGCGUGUGUGCAUCUGAACUAAUAACUUGCUCAGUGCACUGGAGACUGUAUGAAUAAACAGGGAGCAGUGGGAAUAAGCCCAAAGCUUGUGGGACUGCAGCAUUUCUAAUACCUUCACUGAAACACACCUGUUGUUGCUUUCCCCAGAGGGAAAUUUGGUGUUCUGAAAUCCACCGACACAUAAAGAUGCAGGCCAUGAUUUUAGAUCUCUGAUUCAGCAUCACCUGAGUGGAUUUGAACUGUGAUUUUGAUAAUCAGAUAAGCACAAACUGUGCCUCUCUGCUGAUAACGUGAAUGUCAAAUCUCAGACUCGUGCAAUUGGAACUGCUGACUUAUUAAACUUGGAAAUUGGGCUUGAUAAUGGAAAUGGUAACUCAGUGAGCCUUAAUUACGGCUGCAGUGCUGGCCAUGGCCUACUUCUUUACCUGCAGGAGGAGUUCGGUGUGAGGGGGUGAGCGUGGUAGAAACCAUUUGUCAUGAAUGGUGUUAGGUGUGAAUAUGGGCUUUCUCCGUGCUGGUCACCAGGCUCAGAGGGUCAGCAUUAGCACCAGGAGAGUAAAACACAAGCUGUUAACCUUUCUUUUGUGCCACGUUUUCAAGAGUCAGGUUCAACAUUGAAGUGGAAACUCGGUCUGCUGUGUUGCUUUAAUAUUAAGCAAGCAAGCUUGGGAGGCUUUGAUGAGGCAGUAUUAAAAAGUUUUACCACAAAUGACUGUUCAGAUGUGAGUUUACUCAGUUCUGCUUUUGUUCACUACUGCUCCUCAGUUUUAGAACUAUUUGAAUAGAGAAAUGCAUGUCAUCAUUUUCAAACGCUUAAAAGACAAAGCCAAUGUUUCAUCAAUUUAUCUAUGUCCCAAAUGGCCUUUCUAUCCAAGACUGUGCUUGAAACUCUGAAUUAUAGGCAUAAAAGAUGAAUAGAAUUGUAAUGAUUUGCUUUAAAAGAGCACUAAGAUUUGGGGAGUACGAUGAAAGCCUGCUAUAGCCUAAGCAUUUUUCUUCUGUGUUGUUUUUCAAAGGAACACACUGGCAAAAUCAAAAGAGAUGGCAGGGAUAUGUUUUAUAUUACUAUACAAAAGCAAACAGAUGGUUUACUUUUUCUCCUUUUUAGAAUAUGUAGCUACUGCAUUCUCAUUACAUCUCUUGGAAUGGUUUCAGAUAUCAAUUUAGCUUGCGAAGCUGAGUUGAUUGAAUAAUAGGUUUAUCACAAUUUCAAAUCAAUUAGAAAUACUCCUUGCCAGAGGAGGAGAUGGUUUACUUAAAUAUCAAUAAUAAAACUGUAUAAGCCAUGAAUUACUUUAGACUAUUUAGCAUUAUUACAUUUCCCUGUUACAGGGACAGUUCUGCUGAUAUCAGUUGGCAGGAGCUGCUGGAGACGGGGUGGGCUCAAUUAUGACCAGAUGUAAAGUAGCUGUCAGGGUCUCCAGGGGCAUUGCUUUGACUCUUGGUGCCCAUGCUAGCAAUUCCCUCCUACCAUCCACUGCCAACCUCUUCCUCCUCUCUGUCUCACGUACUUCAUACAGUAUUUCUCCAGAGGGAAUAAAAUUAUCCCGGAGAAUCUAAAUUUUAAAGAGAAGAGGAUUGAAUGAGGUGAUAUAUGUGGCUUUUAAAAACCCAGGUGGAAUACCGUGUUAUCAGUGCUCUUCUUAGAACAGUGUUGAUUUUUAUCAUUCAAUCCGUUAUUAGUUCAAAACAUGAUUCUUUCCUUAAUCUGCAGUGCCUUUCCCAUGGGGUUCCCCAGUG